UUUUAAUAGUGUAAAGAUACUAAGAACAAAAGUUUGAGAACUACUGUAAUGUCAAAAGAAACUGAGCAAGACAGAGAUUAGAGACCAAUUCAAUAAUUUAUUAAAUGGAGAGAAAUACUGGGACCAAUGGAUCCCAGGGCUAGACAAGACUAUCAUCUCAAAGAGUCUAGCCCUGAGUAUCGGGACUGCAAGACUUUUAUAGAAUUACAAGAACAUUGACAUAAUGCAGAGACCUAGGUGGGGAUAGCCUCAUAGAUGGAGGUUACUGAUAUUCUAAUGACAUUAAGGAAUGUCUAUAACACCUUUAUCUCAACCAUUUAGAGGGGACGGUCAUAACCUUAAGGCAGAAUACGAAAUAGGACAAAUGGAGGAACUGGUCACCCCAUUAAAAGUGACUUUUGGCAUUAUAUUCCCUCCUUUUUCUCUUGGAACUAUUCAAAUCUUUUGAAUUACCUUCCUCUAGAAGGCCUUAGCACUAUAAUUUGAACAAUCCUAUGUGAAGUAAAUCAAAAUAAAGCUAGACCAAUGCAAGGGCAAGUCUCUCCCUGAUAACCCCAGCAAUACACCUUAUUUUAAUUAUUUCUGACAAUCAAUUGUCAGAUCCUCUGCAGUUGGAGAGCAUGUGGACAGCUGUGGUCAUUUGUGCAUGACUCGGCUUCUGCUUACUGAGAGCAGCAGGCUCAAGGCAGUUAGUUGUGUUGCCCAUUCAGAGGGUCAGCUGGCUCCAGGAGAGAAGGGGGAGGUUUUGAAUUGCUCCUCCCGCCAACACUCUGUUUCUUCUUGUUUUUUGGUUUUUAGCUUUUACCUAAUCUUAGAGUUCUUUCUUUGGUUCAGGAAUUUGGUGCUAUUGAGGAAUUCCACUUUUUUCCAGUAGAUUUAUUUGAGUAAUUUUCAUCAUUGUAAGCGACAUUUCUUCCUGCCUAUGAAGUUGAAUAGCUAUUUGUUGCCAUAUGAACAACUUGCUGGAGUUGUGUGCUCCUGGGCUGUUUUUUCUUUGCUGAAUUGUUGAAAUCAGUGCAGUCUUAGGGUGCCAGGGCUUCUUCCUAAAUGGGAAUGUUGUAAUUCACUUGUUCUCCUUAUCUUUAGAUCUAAGGUCUAAUGCCAUUUGUUAGCUCGGUUCACUUAUACUAAAACUAUUCUAAGCCUCACAGAAAAAGAGCCCCUCAGAUCAAAAUCACUUUUCUUUUCUUUUUUAUUAAAUAAAAUUUUUUAUUUUCAAAACAUAUACAUGGAUAAUUUUUCAAUAUUAACCCUUGCAAAAUCUUGUGUUCCAAAAUUUCCCCCUUUUCCCUUAUCUUCUCCCCUAGAUGACAAGUAAUUCAAUGUAUGUUAAACAUGUUAAAAA
rnacentral:lncRNA from 1 species